AAAAAAAAAAAAAUCAUUCAAGUCCUUUGUCUGAGAGGAGACGGACAUUCUGUCCAGGGCCAGGGGUGUCAGUCAGACUGAUGGUAGAUCACACAGAAGAUGUACUGAAAGAUUCUGGGAUUUGUCUUUGCGUGGAGAAGAGGCGAUGGGUUGAGAGCGUGCCUUUAAAUAUUUGAAUGGACCUCCUAUGGGUCGAUUAGUGGCCCCCAAAAGAUUUGUGCACGUCCUGCUUGCCAGAGCCUGUGAACGUGAUCUUAUUUGGAAAAGGAAUCUUAGCAGAUGUAACUAAGUUAAGGAUUUCAAAAUGAGAUUCUGGAUUCAGGGGGGACCCCAAAUCCAGCGGCAGGUGUCAUGACAGAGAAAGGCAGAGGGAGAUUUGGGAGGGAGGAGGAGAAAACCACAGAUGAGAGAGGCAGUGAUUAGAGCUUGGCAGCCCCAAACCAAGGGACGCCUGGGAAUAGGCAAGGCACGAUCCUCCCCGGGAGGCUUCGGAGAGAACGCGUCCCGCCGACACCUUGCUGUCGGACGUCCAGCCUCCACAGCUGUGACAGAAUCAGUUUCUGUUGUUGCAAGCCCCUCAGUUUGUAACAAUUAGUUACUUGGCAGCAACGGGAAUGAACAGCUGUGUCCUAUGAAAGAGGAGGUGGGCUAGUUCCAUCUGCAGCCAGAGACUUAGCAAGGAAGGGUGAGAGUUCCAGGGGGGCAUCUUGCAGACCAAUGUAAGGAAGAAUUUCCAAGAACGAGGCCUGCCCAGCAUCGAUGUGGCUGCCUUGGGCCAUUCUGCCUCCUACAGCAUCGGACUGACCACCUCUUGGGAACAUAGCAGGUAGGACUGCUGUUCAGGAGGAAGGGUGGGUUAGGUCCUCCCUCCUUAGUGGAGACCUGCUGACAGGGUCCCCUGUGCGUGUGCAUCAUGACAGUAAUUCCCCUUCAAGAAAGCAUGUUGGAAUGCACAUAUAAGAGUGAUGUCUUGAUAGGAAUAACUUUGAGUCAGCUCUAAUUUCCUUUUUCAAAAAUGGCAUUAUUUGCAAAUGUUGGUACUGUAACUAUUAAUAAUAAUUUACUUGCAGGUAGCUCGCAUUUCCCCGGGACACAUUGCUGAAGCUUGUCACGGUGGUGAGAGAGACCUGUGGUCUCCUAGGAGGCGUGGAGCAGCCUUCCCACACUCUCUGCACAUACACAUCCUCGGGGGAUCUGGUCCAGGGGCAGAUUCUGACACCCCAGGCCUCAGCUGAGGCUCCAGACGCUGUGUCUCUCACAAGCCCUCGGAGGACAGUGAUGCUGCAGGUCCACAGGCCACAGGGAUCCAGAGUGGCUGCUGAGGAGAAGACAGAGCAUAAAGAGGUUAAACCAUGCCUAUGGUCACCCCUAUCGGUGAAGCUGAGAUUUGAAGUGGCGUUUGGACCCCAGAGCUGAGCUGAUUAUCACCAUGACAUUCAACCUUCCAGAAUCCUGCAGACCCUCAAUAGGGUGCCCUGCCCUCCUGUCCAUGCCUGGGCCUUCCAGGACUAGCAGAGUGGUGUAGGACAUUCAGGGAUGGGCCAGGGCAUCCUUGUACGUGGCCCCUCCCUAGGUCACCCCCAAUCCCUGCUCUGGUUGGCUCCACACUUUUACAUGAAGCCCCGCUGCUCCCAGAUGGGGGAUUAGACCAGGGGCUCCUGUUCAGCUUUUCAUGCAGGAAGACUACUGAGCAGGGGCUGGCUGUGGAAGAGGGGAAAGUUGCCACCCUUGUCUAAAAUUGCCGCUGCGGGAUGGAGAGGAAGAUUCCUGCAUACCCAAGGAGAGGUUGAGGCUCCAGGGAGAAGGAGGGAGCAGCGCUGCCUGAGCACAUGCCCCCAGCGUGUGGGCUGCUGGGCAGAUGCCAGCAUCCCCAUCAUUUAGGGCCUGAAUAAACAGCCUUGUUUUACUCUGCUCUUUGCUGAGCAAAACAGGGCUCCAAACCCCUCCUGGCCAUCCUCAAAUCUCUUCCAUUUUCCAAAUCCUCAAACGCUUGAGGCUGUAUCUCUUUGGCCUGUCCACCAUAGAAAACAAGAGGCUGGUCCCUUCCCAGGCGAGGAGAGCCUCCCUCCCGGUGCUCCUGCGGUCGCCACACGUCUCCGUGGCUGACUCUUUAUAGCAAGGUGCAGACACCAGGGAUGGGGGUUCAGAUGUGUGCACAGCAGGGUCUUUGGGGUCAGGGAGCUCUUCAGGGCAGGCAGAGCACAUUCUCAGGCCAUUAGCUGGUUGGGCCAGAGUUCACCUGCCACCACCCUGCCCCCAGACCAGCAUCACGGCAGGGUCCCUGGUCCCUCAGAGACCCCUUGAGAGAGCAAUCCCCACCACGGUCCAGGAGGUAGCUGCAAACCUGGAAAAACAGGACAGACUCCAGGAGAAGCACAUAAGCCAAUUAAGAGCCCAGGCUGGCCCGGCGGCUCCAGUAGCACCUGCUCUCAUCUUGUGAGGUGCAUGCGGCUUGGGCUGCUGGGAAGGUACAGUGCGGCCUAAUUACACACUCCUCCGUGACAGGCGGUGUCAAAAGAUUAAAGGAAUCAAACCAAGUGGCUCUCCAGUGGCCCCUCCCCCAGGAACCAGAGCUGCUGCGUGAAGGUGAUUAUGGUACCAACGUAGUGGUUAGAAAGAUAAUUUUCUCUGGGCCCUGUGCCUGCCGCCUCCUCCACUGAGCUGCGCUUCGGCACUGCGACUCGGCCACCUUGUCUGGGCUUCACAGAUUCCUUUUCUUUUUUGUUGGCACAGCUGAGCAGAAGGAAACAAACUAAGCAGCUCUCCCUCCACCAGCCUCCCACCCCACCACCCACGGGCCUCUCCUCCUCUUCCCUCUCCUCCCCU
rnacentral:lncRNA from 10 species